rnacentral:lncRNA from 1 species
GCACUAUGCAAAGUAUAAUAAUUACAUUAUCUCGUAAUUUCAUAUUCAAUACCCCAGGGUCAUCUUCAUUUAUUUUUGUAAGGCAAACAAACAUUUGCACCUUCACUUCAUCCCUUUCCUUACUGCAGGUAGUAGCUGUGUAUCCACUCCCACGGGGAGAUUAGCAUUUCUUUAGGAAGCCCACCCUCUUAGCUUCGCCCGUCAAAAGCGGUCUUCCUUCUAAACGACUAGGGCCUUAUCCAGUCUAUACACAACCGCCCUCUCCCUAAACCCAAGACGUUAAGCGACCACUGGUUUUAUCAACUCUAUGACCGAGGCCUCUCCAGCGACGUUCCAGCUUCUUCAAACUUUCUUCCCCAAGUCGGCCUUGGUCUGAGCCCAUCCCAGCCGUACGGACACCUGCCUUCCUCUAAGAUGGCCGCGUCCACGGUGCUACCGCCUAACGACUGCACUCGGCAGUGCACAGAGGGCGCCGCCAUCUUUCUUCUCUCGGCGGAUAAACAUGCCUGGUGGCUUUGGGUAGACACCAACCUCUGAGUCUUACCCGGUUAGCAUAACUCUGUUGACCAUCCCUCCCAGCAGGAGGUAAAAACACUGAUGUGGCCCGUCAUGAUUUCGAUCUCCUCACACAGCCUCUAUGCCCCCUCCCAUCAGACGGGCCGGGGUGGGCGUGGCCGUAUGUCACAGAGCCGGGCCAGUACUCGGCGCUCCGAAAUCCCGUAGCGCUCCCAGGUCCUCGCGGGAGGCGUCGGCCCAGGAGGACCCGAGUCCCUAGGUACCGCGAGGAAGCGCACGCGGAGAGGGGUGGCUUUGAAAGUGGGUGGCCUUUCGUGGCUGCCAGCAGCGUCGGUAGCGGUUCGGGUUCAGCCACAGGUCUCAGGUCCCCAAGAGCAAGAGUGAUCAAGUGAAGGAAUGAAGGAAGAAAGAAGAGGUGCUUAGACUUGGAUAUCAUUGCUCCUAGAGACAACUUCAAGCAGACACCGAGCUUUCUGACUCUUAAGAACUUCGUGGCAGAUGCAGGAGAGAUGAAAGACAGAAGAAUCCAUGUUACUGUUUAGUGAGCACAGAAGAAAAUGACGAAGGCCCAGGUGAUUUUCGUUUGUUACGUUUUUCGUAUGUUUUUCACAGGUUUCUGGUGACCUGAGAAAAAUCAGUUCAGCCUUUUAGUAUAAAUUGGGAUUAUUGGAUUCUGGGGAGAAAUUAACUUAAACUCUAAAUUCAAAGGCAGGGCAAAGUGAAAUCAGGAAUGUUUUACUCACAGGGGUCAUUCUGAAGGACUACUGUUAGAACACGGGUGUGACUGGUGCAUCCUGUGGGUUACGGUAGCAGUCACUUUGAGUCUGAUAUCUCUAAGAGACAUCAUAACCAGAGAGACAUGAAAAGCUGCAUGAUGUGCACUGACUCUGUGGGGAAGGCAGG